rnacentral:rRNA from 1 species
CGCGUAGGCGGCGCAACUGGUCGGGCGUGAAAGCCCCGGGCUCAACCUGGGAACGGCGCUCGAAACGGUUGCGCUGGAGUUCGGGAGAGGAGAGUGGAAUUCCCAGUGUAGAGGUGAAAUUCGUAGAUAUUGGGAAGAACACCGGUGGCGAAGGCGGCUCUCUGGACCGAUACUGACGCUGAGGCGCGAAAGCGUGGGGAGCAAACAGGAUUAGAUACCCUGGUAGUCCACGCGGUAAACGAUGUGUGCUAGACGUUGGGGGAGCCUAGCUCUUCGGUGUCGCAGCAAACGCGGUAAGCACACCGCCUGGGGAGUACGGCCGCAAGGUUAAA